rnacentral:rRNA from 1 species
UGGAGGCAGCAGUGGGGAAUUUUGGACAAUGGGCGCAAGCCUGAUCCAGCCAUUCCGCGUGCAGGAUGAAGGCCCUCGGGUUGUAAACUGCUUUUGUACGGAACGAAAAGCCUUCUUCUAAUACAGGAGGGUCAUGACGGUACCGUAAGAAUAAGCACCGGCUAACUACGUGCCAGCAGCCGCGGUAAUACGUAGGGUGCAAGCGUUAAUCGGAAUUACUGGGCGUAAAGCGUGCGCAGGCGGUGAUGUAAGACAGAUGUGAAAUCCCCGGGCUCAACCUGGGAACUGCAUUUGUGACUGCAUCGCUGGAGUGCGGCAGAGGGGGAUGGAAUUCCGCGUGUAGCAGUGAAAUGCGUAGAUAUGCGGAGGAACACCGAUGGCGAAGGCAAUCCCCUGGGCCUGCACUGACGCUCAUGCACGAAAGCGUGGGGAGCAAACAGGAUUAGAUACCCCGGUAGUCCC